UACGGAGGGGGCUAGCGUUGUUCGGAAUUACUGGGCGUAAAGCGCGCGAAGGCGGUUUCUCAAGUCAGGCGUGAAAGCCCGGGGCUCAACUCGGGGAUUGCGUUUGAAACUGGAUGGCUAGAAGGUGGUAGAGGGGAGUGGAAUUCCGAGUGGAGAGGUGAAAUGCGUAGAUAUUCGGAGGAACACCAGUGGCGAAGGCGGCUCACUGGGCCGUUUUUGACGCUAAGGCGCGAAAGCGUGGGUAGCGAACGGG
rnacentral:rRNA from 1 species